rnacentral:rRNA from 1 species
ACCCAGCAACGCCGCGUGAAGGAUGAAGUAUUUCGGAAUGUAAACUUCGNNNNNAAUGGGAAGAAUAAAUGACGGUACCAUUUCUAAGGUCCGGCUAACUACGUGCCAGCAGCCGCGGUAAUACGUAGGGACCAAGCGUUGUUCGGAUUUACUGGGCGUAAAGGGCGCGUAGGCGGCCCCGCAAGUYACUUGUGAAAUCUCCGGGCUUAACUCGGAACGGCCAAGUGAAACUGCGGACUAGAGUGUGGAAGGGGCAAUCGGAAUUCUUGGUGUAGCGGUGAAAUGCGUAGAUAUCAAGAGGAACACCUGAGGUGAAGACGGGUUGCUGGGCCAACACUGACGCUGAGGCGCGAAACCAGGGGAGCAAACGGGAUUAGAUACCCCGGUAGUCCUGGCCCUAAACGAUGAAUACUUGGUGUCUGGAGUCAUUAAUGCUCCGGGUGCCGUCGCUAACGUUUUUAGUAUUCCGCCUGGGGAGUACGCUCGCAAGAGUG